rnacentral:rRNA from 1 species
UACGAAGGGUGCAAGCGUUGUUCGGAAUUACUGGGCGUAAAGGGCUCGUAGGCGGCCAACUAAGUCGGACGUGAAAUCCCCAGGCUCAACCUGGGAACUGCGUCCGAUACUGGAUGGCUUGAAUCCGGGAGAGGGAUGCAGAAUUCCAGGUGUAGCGGUGAAAUGCGUAGAUAUCUGGAGGAAUACCGGUGGCGAAGGCGGCAUCCUGGACCGGCAUUGACGCUGAGGAGCGAAAGCCAGGGGAGCAAACGGG